AUUUAUAUAGUUUAUCUAAAACAUUACAUUUUCAUUGUAAAAUUAAGAAUAUUAAAUCCUUUAUAAAUA
rnacentral:tRNA from 1 species